rnacentral:misc_RNA from 1 species
GAUGAAGAACGUAGCGAAAUGCGAUAACUAAUGUGAAUUGCAGAAUUCAGUGAAUCAUCGAGUCUUUGAACGCACAUUGCGCCCCCUGGUAUUCCGGGGGGCAUGCCUGUCCGAGCGUCAUUGCUGCCCUCAAGCAUGGCUUGUGUGUUGGGCCUCCGUCCUCCUCCCGGGGGACGGGCCCGAAAGGCAGCGGCGGCACCGCGUCCGGUCCUCGAGCGUAUGGGGCUUCGUCACCCGCUCUUGUAGGCCCGGCCGGCGCUUGCCGACACAUCAAUCUUUUUUCCAGGUUGACCUCGGAUCAGGUAGGGAUACCCGCUGAACUUAAGCAUAUCAAUAAGCGGAGGA